AUACCUUUCUCGGCCUUUUGGCUAAGAUCAAGUGUAGUAUCUGUUCUUAUCAGUUUAAUAUCUGAUAUGUGGACUACAUGUUCACAACGAUAUUAAAUUUAUUUUUUAUGGGGAAGGAUCCAUCAUGUUCCCCGGGCGUUGCACUAUAGCCCGGGUGUGGCGCACCCCAA
rnacentral:snRNA from 2 species